CCUACGGUGUGCAGCAGUGGGGAAUAUUGGACAAUGAGCGAAAGCCUGAUCCAGCCAUGCCGCGUGUGUGAAGAAGGCCUUCGGGUUGUAAAGCACUUUCAGUGGGGAAGAAAGCCUUGGGGCUAAUACCCUCGAGGAAGGACAUCACCCACAGAAGAAGCACCGGCUAACUCCGUGCCAGCAGCCGCGGUAAUACGGAGGGUGCGAGCGUUAAUCGGAAUUACUGGGCGUAAAGCGCGCGUAGGCGGUCUGAUAAGCCGGUUGUGAAAGCCCCGGGCUCAACCUGGGAACGGCAUCCGGAACUGUCAGGCUAGAGUGCAGGAGAGGAAGGUAGAAUUCCCGGUGUAGCGGUGAAAUGCGUAGAGAUCGGGAGGAAUACCAGUGGCGAAGGCGGCCUUCUGGACUGACACUGACGCUGAGGUGCGAAAGCGUGGGUAGCAAACAGGAUUAGAUACCCGAGUAGUC
rnacentral:rRNA from 1 species